GAUGAACGCUGGCGGCGUGCCUAAUACAUGCAAGUCGAGCGAAUGGAUUAAGAGCUUGCUCUUAUGAAGUUAGCGGCGGACGGGUGAGUAACACGUGGGUAACCUGCCCAUAAGGCUGGGAUAACUCCGGGAAACCGGGGCUAAUACCGGAUAACAUUUUGAACCGCAUGGUUCGAAAUUGAAAGGCGGCUGCGGCUGUCACUUAUGGAUGGCCCCGCGUCGCAUUAGCUAGUUGGUGAGGUAACGGCUCACCAAGGAAACGAUGGGUAGCCGACCUGAGAGGGUGAUCGGCCACACUGGGACUGAGACACGGCCCAGACUCCAACGGGAGGCAGCAGUAGGGAAUCUUCCGCAAUGGACGAAAGUCUGACGGAGCAACGCCGCGUGAGUGAUGAAGGCUUUCGGGUCGUAAAACUCUGUUGUUAGGGAAGAACAAGUGCUAGUUGAAUAAGCUGGCACCUUGACGGUACCUAACCAGAAAGCCACGGCUAACUACGUGCCAGCCGCCGCUGUAA
rnacentral:rRNA from 1 species